rfam:Coriobacteriaceae bacterium BV3Ac1 contig00001, whole genome shotgun sequence.
CUUACCGUGAGGUGGAAUCUGAAGAAAGCAGGAGGCAAACCUUUGGCCUGACGAACAGGAAUCGCAUGAGACGUAUGUGGGUGAGUAAGGUUGCCACACAAGUCAAAGCCCAAAAGCUGCACGGAAACUCACAGCGUAGAUGUGGCAGGUAGAUGAAGGGAAAGAAGUACGC